ensembl:snRNA U6 U6 spliceosomal RNA
GUGCUGCUUCGGUAGCACAUAUACUAAAAUCGGAAUGAUAAUGGAGAGUAGCAUGGCCCAUAUGCAAAGAUGACCCAGAAAUGCAUGCAGCUUUCCAUAAUUUU